AUGAUUUCACACAUCCAGCUGAUCUGGCCCCUGGCAUUCUGUAUCGCAGGUAUCAGUGGGGACAUCACCAUGACCCAGUCUCCCCCGGUGCUGUCAGUGGAACUGGGCCAGACUGCAACCAUCACCUGUAAGGCCAGUCAAAGCAUUAGCAGCUACCUUGCUUGGUACCAGCAGCGAGAAGGUCAGAAACCCUCUCUCCUGAUCUAUUAUGCAGCAACUCGAUUCACAGGAGUCUCAGAGCGAUUCACCGGCAGUGGAUCAGGGACCAGUUUCACCCUGACAAUCAGCAACGUUCAGAAUGAGGAUGUGGCUGACUAUUACUGUCAGCAAGGUGACAGCUGGCCGUACACGUUCGGUAAAGGAACCAAGCUCAGACUGAAAAGCCGUGACAACUCUCAGCCCAAGCUGACCCUGCUGCCUCCCUCCCUGGAGCAGGUCAAUGCCAAGGGCACUGCCACCCUGGUGUGCCUUGCCAAUCACUUCUAUCCCGAUGAGCUGGAGGUGCAGUGGAAGAAGGACGGUGCAGUCAUUUCGGACGGGGUUCAGACCAGCAACUACCUGCGAGCUUCGGACAGCACCUACAGUGUCAGCAGCCUGCUGACCCUCUCUGGGUCUGACUGGGAGUCCAACGCUCGCUUCUCCUGUGCCCUCACCCACGUGACCCUCCCCUCUCCCCUCAGCAAGAGCAUCAGGAGAUCA